AGCAAUGCCGCGUGAGUGACGAAGGUUUUCGGAUCGUAAAACUCUGUUGUAAGGGAAGACAAGUACCAAGUAACUACUGGUACCUUGACGGUACCUUACCAGAAAGCCACGGCUAACUACGUGCCAGCAGCCGCGGUAAUACGUAGGUGGCAAGCGUUGUCCGGAAUUAUUGGGCGUAAAGCGCGCGCAGGCGGUCCCUUAAGUCUGAUGUGAAAGCCCACGGCUCAACCGUGGAGGGUCAUUGGAAACUGGGGGACUUGAGUGCAGAAGAGGAAAGUGGAAUUCCAUGUGUAGCGGUGAAAUGCGUAGAGAUGUGGAGGAACACCAGUGGCGAAGGCGACUUUCUGGUCUGUAACUGACGCUGAGGCGCGAAAGCGUGGGGAGCAAACAGGAUUAGAUACCCUGGUAGUCCACGCCGUAAACGAUGAGUGCUAAGUGUUAGGGGGUUUCCGCCCCUUAGUGCUGCAGCUAACGCAUUAAGCACUCCGCCUGGGGAGUACGGCCGCAAGGCUG
rnacentral:rRNA from 1 species